GGGGGGGGGGGGGGGGGGGGGUAGGGCGGGCGGGGCGGGCGGGGGGGGGGGGGGGGGUGGCGCCCGGGGGCGUAGGGCGGGGGAACCUGCCCUUAGGGUCGGAAUAACUCCCCGAAAGGGGUGCUAAUGCCGGAUAAUGUCUUCGGACCAAAGAUUUAUCGCCUUUGGAUGGGCCCGCGUUGGAUUAGCUCGUUGGUAGGGUAAAAGCCUACCAAGGCGACCAUCCAUAGCUGGUCUGAGAGGAUGGUCAGCCACACUGGGACUGAGAAACGGCCCAGACUCCUACGGGAGGCAGCAGUGGGGAAUAUUGGACAAUGGGCGAAAGCCUGAUCCAGCAAUGCCGCGUGAGUGAUGAAGGCCUUAGGGUUGUAAAGCUCUUUUACCCGGGAUGAUAAUGACAGUACCGGGAGAAUAAGCUCCGGCUAACUCCGUG
rnacentral:rRNA from 1 species